rnacentral:tRNA from 1 species
UCCCUACUGGCUUAGACGGUAAAGCGCCUGCCUACAAUGUGGGAGACCUGGGUUCAGUCCCUGGGUCGGGAA